rnacentral:rRNA from 1 species
GAGGGAAUCGUCGGCAAUGGACGGAAGUCUGACCGAGCAACGCCGCGUGUGUGAAGAAGGUUUUCGGAUCGUAAAGCUCUGUUGUUAGAGAAGAACGUUGGUAGGAGUGGAAAAUCUACCAAGUGACGGUAACUAACCAGAAAGGGACGGCUAACUACGUGCCAGCAGCCGCGGUAAUACGUAGGUCCCGAGCGUUGUCCUGAUUUAUUUUGCGUAAAGCGAGCGCAGGGGGUUCUUUAAGUCUGAAGUUAAAGGCAGUGGCUUAACGAUUGUACGGUUUGGAAACUGGAGGAAUUGAGUGCAGAAGGGGAGAGUGGAAAUCCAUGUGUAGCGGUGAAAUGCGUAGAUAUAUGGAGGAACAGCGGUGGCGAGAGGGGAUCUCUGGAAAGUAAAUGACGAUGAGGCAAGAAAGCGUGGGGAGCAAACAGG